AAAACCCUGGAGCGGGAGAGAGAAGGUGAGCUGCGGGCCCAGAAAGCCAGCCAUGCUACCUUGCAUGUUCCCGAGGGCUGUCGGAGACAGGUGGUACCUGGUGGUUGUGGCGCUGGAUGACUUCCAGGAAGAGCGUGGGACGAUCCUGCACGGGCUUGGUGAAGAUCUGCAAGAGGUAGCCUUUCUCAUCGUAGUCUACCAGGAUUUUCAGCUCCUAGGCCCCCGGGGUCCAGGGAAGGCCCCACCUGGAUCUGGGACUUCUUCUUGCCCGGUGCUGGCUCAUUAAUGGGCAUCUUGAUGGACUCCUCAUAAUUGGCCACCACGAUUGAGCGCAGAGAGCUGUAUUCUGUGUGCACCUGUGUGUCGUCCACAGACCAGAAACGAUGGAACUGCAGAUUCUUCAGAUGUGGAAACUGAGGCUCGGAGAGACGACAUGCAGCUGGCAAGGUGGAGCUCAGGUGUGCACCACAGCAGUGUCUGGGGUUGUCACCCCAACACGGCAGGUCCUCCGGCCCUGACCUACAGGGAACCCUGUGACAGACCGAGGGCAGCCCAGAAGCCGUCUCACCUGCACGAUGUAGUCACAGUCUUCCACCUCAAAUGCGAUGUCCUUCACUCCAUCGCCGUGUUUUACCAGGUGGUCGCCUAUCUCUGUGGCCGGUAGGGGAGGUCAUGGCGCUAGAGCCAUGGCCCCCUCCCCCCUCCCCUCUACUGUCAGUCCCGGGGUUCCAUCUCCUCCUAGGCUGGGGAACCCUCCCUGAACUGGACCCACUCCUUUGUUCCUUACCCUUCCCCCACAAUAGCUUGUCUUCACCCCCUGGUACCCUGAGCCCCCGGGGCCUCCUCACCUUUGUUCCAGGGGUUGAGGGCGGAGGAGAAGACAAACACGAUCUAAGAACACAGAGGAGAAAGGAGGGGUAGCUGGUGGCUCAGGAGAGCACCUGGCGAUGUAUUACCAUCCCCUCCUCCCUGCCCACCUGGGAGACACCCCAGGACCACAUCACCCCUCCCAGCCGGGCAGGAUUCCUUAACCCUGGGUUCCGGCUCCGUCUCUGCCUUAGCUUCUCCCUGAGCUGAGCUCUUGGCUCUGGCCCCCCCAGGGGAGGGAAUCCCCAGGGGUCCCAGGGACCAGGGCACUGCUCGGACUUUCAGUUCUGAUGUCUGAGGCCUCCGCCAACUUAUCGGGAACAUCUGUGAGGCCAGCGUUGGGCCAGGCCAAGGAGAUGAAACUAACGUCCGUGUUGCAAGUUGUACAAAGGUGCCCGUGGAGGGGAGAGUGGGGGCUCUCAGCCCAUGUUCCCUUAGCCCCACCAGACGUCCUGGGAGAGAACCGGGUCGGCCUGGGGAAAGGGCCUCCUGGUCUACUUCACCCAGAGGCACCAGAGCCCUAAGGAGACUCAGAGACCAGCAGGGGCAGAGAAGGCAAGUGGGAGCCUCCUGGGUGAGUGGCGUCCUGGGGUGGCGACUCACCUUGCCUUGCUUGAUCGCGUGGCUGACCACCUCCCGGGAACCCGUUUCCAGGCCCUUGUAGGCCAGAGGUUCAAAGCCCAUCUUGUUACAGUAGAAUGACGCAGCCUAAAUCACAGAGUUACAACCGGGUUCCUGAGGGCCAGCCUGGGGGGCCCCCAGUUGAGAGCCUCCAGUCCCCCUAGGACUGUCUGCCCUGUUGCCCCAGGCACAGAGUCCGUUCUGCGAAGAAAGGCCACUGCCUGGCCCAUUCUGAUGUCAGAUAAGUUUCCUGCUGGGGUCUGAGGCCCUGAUUGUGUAAUUAGGAUCCAAAGAGUGUCUGUCUUUCCUGGGAUGGUCCCAACACUGGCCCUGAUCCUCCCCACCCAGGGGCCAAUCACAGGCCCUACUGGAGGCCCGCCCUUGUCCAGGAGGCUCUCUUGCCUGCCCUCUGCCCUCUCCAGUUCCCGGCCCCAGCUUUUACCUGCUUGGCAUUGCCAACCCAGAAGGUCACGGAGUGGAAAUGGAGGAAUCGGCCCCUCGCAGGCUGCAGAAGGAGAGAAGGGGAGAGGCUAAGUCUCUGGAGGUUGGGGGGCAGGUUUGGCCUCUGGGACUGUACUUCUUCUGUGAGUCCCCUGGACAUCAUGAUAUUCAUUGCCUGUGCCCCGGAAGGUGUUCAAAGCAGCUUCAACCUAGUGGCCACAGUUGUGCUGUGCUGAAUCCUUGCGCCUCUGCUCAGAUUUUAUUUUUCAGGCUCUGUGCUGACAGCAGAGAGCCCGACACGGGGCUCGAACUCGCGAACUGUGAGAUCAUGACCUGAACUGAAGUCUGAUGCUUAACUGCUUGAGAUACCCAGGCACCCUGAGACUGAGUUUUUAACUUAAGAAAAGAUCUUUAGCUGAGGGAAUGGGAUCUGUCUCCAAGUUGUCACCUUGGAAGGCAGAGCACCUUAAAAUAAUAAGAAGAAGAACAAAAGUCCGAUUUUCUGGUCACUGAUUUAUGUGCCGGGCACCGUGCUAAGCACAUCAUAUACUGUGCUCUUUACUCAUGAAAUCCCCAAAUAACCCUCAGAGGUCGGCAAUGACAAAUCCUUGGCAUUUGAGUGGAAGUCUCAUCUUCAACGGCUUCUUCCUGCUGAAUGAGGGGUGUAGAGAUGUCCCUACGUAUGGAUCAACAUUGGUCGGUUGGGAAUUUAUAUGUUGGGAUUAUGAAAGGCAGAGGCGGCUGUAUCCAAGGCAGAUAGCACAUGUGGAUUUUCCCGAGUGGAAAGGAUCAUCUGUCAGCUCAAACAUGUGGCCGUGAAGGAAUCUUGGCACCGGGCGGAGAGAGAUCUGGAAAAUAAGAUGAUGAUUAUUAGGAUGAAAAAGAGAAGCCUUAAUUAAACGACUUUUUGACCCAAAUCCUCCUCCAGUCCAGGAGUUUAACCAAUCAUGAAUGGAGUGGGAGGGAGACUUUAACAUGCCAAUUUGGGUAGUAUUCAUCUCAGUAAUUUUUGUGGUUAUCUGGAGUAUAUAUAUAACACU